UAUGGUUUCAUUUGUGGAAAGUGUGAUGUUUCAGUCCCUUUAUCCAGGGAAUCAUUACAUUAUUCCUAAGAGGCUUAGUCAGGAUGUUGUUGAGUCUUUUUUUUCCAUGCAAAGGCAGUCCUGUGGAGGGACAAACAAUAUGACUGCAUAUACAUAUGGGUAUAACAUAAACAGCACACUUGCAUCAUCAACCAAGUUGCUAUCAAAGAAACAGACAAAUGUCUACGAAACUGAUGAUGUUGACCUUGGACAGCAGCCACAGAGUUGGUCCAGUCUUCCAAAGAGGGACAAUGUUCAGGGCAUAUUUCAUAAAAAUCUUUGGCCAGUACAUCUUUAAGCUGUUGUAGUUUUGAAAUAACCCUAUUUAUGCAAAAAAAAUGGCACCAAUAAUACACCUGGCCAUUUAUUGGAUACUUGUUCCAAUGUUCUCAUGUUUCAUGCACAAUAGGGUUAGGGAUUAUGGGUAGGUUUGUGAUUGGAUCAAGAUGAUAUAUUUGUGCAUGAAACAUGGGGGUGUAACCUUAAUGUGUGCUUGCCAUCCGAAAACAUGGAAACAGGGUCAUUGGGCCAAUACCACAGAAUACUAUACAGAAG